UUGAUGACGUCAUGUUAUCUUUCUACGUCUAUAUAUUUAGAAGAAAUUACGGGUAAAGACAACAUAAGUUUAGUUGUUUUUGAAACAAAAAAUUAAUAAUAUGUAAUACCUAUCUUCGAAGAUGAACUUACACGAAUAUUCUUCAAACCAAGAAGUUACGAAGUGGGAUGAAGAUGCUAACGAGGGUUUUCUGUUAGAUUACUAAACCAUAUCGAUGAAUUGAUUGAAUUUUAAGAAGAAAUAAAGAGACAACAGGAUGAUCUUAACGAAGAACAAUUAGAUAUUGGAUUUUAUGAAGAAGAAUUGUUUGAAUUUGUAAAUGGUAUCAAUGACGAAAAUGAAGAUACUGAUGAUAACAUACGUUUUGCUUGUGAACAGGCUUUAUUUGAAAUUCAGAGACAUGGUCAAUUAGGUUUAGGUAUGCACAGUACGGUAAGCUUUUGUGAAAAACGAUAACAUAGUGAGACGACAUGGACAAGGAAGGCAUAAAAAACUGAUUUACAAAGAUGAAGACGAAGAAAUUGAAGAAGAAGAAGAAGGAAAAGAAGGAGAAGGAGAAGAAGAUAAUAGUGUAAGACGACAUGUCAAGGAGAACAUAUGAAGAUGAUAUUUUAUGAACAGGAAAACGAAGAAAUUGAAGAAGACGAUGAAAACGUUAUAGUACAAUACGGAGCAGGAAAACACGUUAAACAAAUGUCUGUGUGCGGUAACAAGAGAUCAAGAAAAUAUGAGGAUAACGACGAUGAUGAAGAUGAUGAAGAUGAAAUGGAUUUCGAUAACAUGGACGUAAGGGAGUUAUAAGGAAACUGAACGAUAAAUUAAAUUUUAAAAAAAAAUGAAAAUGUUUGCGAGUGAUCAUUUAGUUACUUUAGUAGGCUAAAGAAAGCCUUUAAAAAUCCAUACAGAUAGAGGUUCAGAAUUUGCAAACAAAAAGGUUCAAGCAUAUCUUAAAUCACGAGGCAUACAUUCUCUACGACAAACAAUUAAACAUAGUGUUGUUGAGAGAUUGAGAUGUUGAGAUGUUACGACAAGCCAGUAAAGUUCGAAUACAUUUUACAAGAACAUAAUGGUGAAGAUGUUUGCGGUAAUGGUACGGAUGAAAAGAUGGUGGCGGAAAGAGAAAACAAGCUGAGGAAAAAAGAUGAUGGUACAACGCACGGAGGAGAAAAAAAAAGAUGAUAUAUGCAAAAUUCCAAUAACCAAUACAAUUAGUUAAAUCAGUAUGAAGACGUGUAUGUGGAUUGAUAAGGAAAAAAAUAUGCUGGUAAUAGAGACUCUCUUUAAGCUCUACUUUCUAAUGCGAAAUCAUUCAUUUUUACGAAACCAUUGAGCUUUAAAACUAUAUCGGUAUAUUAUAACUUAAUAUACUUCAUCAAUAAAUAUGACUUGCUCUUCAUACAAUACUCAAGAAAUCAACGAGGAACCAAUCCUGAUUAUCAGUGAUGAAGAGAUUCCUUUAAUUUAAAUCUUAGUCUUUAAAUGAGGAACCAAUCAUUAUAAACAUUAGCAGUGUACAUACAGUGCGUAAUUGAGAAAUAAUGAACCAGUCGUGAUUAGCAGCGAUGACGAGAUUCAUGAAUGAUCCGGCGUAGAUCUAUUUCGCUGGAUGACGAUAUAACAAAUUAAAUCAUUCGUAUUACCGGUACUGAAGAAGAAAUCCUAAAUAAUCCUACGUACGAUAUAUCUGACUUCCAUUGCACCUGGCGGCGAAUCCUGACACCAUAUACGAAGACAGUGUGUUUGAGCAGGAAAGAAUCGUCCAGGAUGUCCAAGCUGAUGGGAUGAUGAUAAAAGAAAUUACGGCAACGAAUAUACAUUGAACAUUUUUUAGUUGUACUAAAGAGAUUGAAAGAGACUGUUAUGGAUGCGAAUUCGACAAAGCGAGUCAUGUAGACUAAAGACAUGUGUUUAAUGAUGACCGGAUACGAACAAUUAAGCAAUUAUUUCGAACAAAUUUUAUAUGGUAAUUAAGAUGAUCAAGUAUGUAUGAUCAAUAGCUCGAUCGACAAGGUCUUUCCAUCAUUUCUUGCAUUUGAUUCAAGCCGACAUUCAUUUAUUUGAUAAACUUUUAAAUGCUUGG
rnacentral:lncRNA from 1 species